rnacentral:snRNA from 1 species
GGAUGUGAGGGUGAUCUGGCUGUGACAUCUGUCACCCCAUUGAUCACCAGGGUGAUUCGGCUAAUCUGGCUGACUAGACUGGUGUCUCCUUCCUCCCUCACCACUCCAUGUGCAGUCCUCCCAAAGCUGCAUGCUAAGAGGAUGACCAUCCCCAAUAGAGGAGGAACAUUCUUUGGUCAAGGACAUACGAGUAGCUGCGCUCCCCUGCUAGAACCUCCACACAAGCUCUCAAGAACACCGCCAACAACAAAUGUUGGUGAGGAUGCUGGAAUAAAGGAACCCUCAUACACUGCUGGUGGGAAUGUAAGCUGAUACAACCACUUUGGA